UGGGAACCCAGUCCCUGUAGAGAGACGUUCACUUUUCUUUAUUUUUACCCUUUGGGGGAGGGGCGUGACUGUAUGUGUCAAGUGUUUUUAUAACAUCCUGGUUUCACACACUUGAAAAAGGAAGAACUUCACCAGACUCAGGAUUUCACUCGUUCUUAUUUUUAUUCUUUCCAGUGACAAGAAAGAUGAAAAAUCUUUGAACAUAACACACAAGGCAAAUAAGUUCAUCAUUUUUCAUCAAACAAGGUAGCGCUGUCUGUCUCACACUCAUAUCUUCAGCUCAUCAUCUCGUGACGUGGAGAUGGAUCAGGACACGGUGAAGGAACAACAUGAGAUCCAGACUGAAGAUCAGAGGACCAGGAAGAAGCUCACAUCUGGACCUGGACCCAGCUGUGUGUCCUUUAGAAGUGACCAGUCCAUGGAUGUACCCAUUGUCUUCAAAGGAGGUCCAUCUACUGACCCACAGUGAGUCCACAUAAAGAAGGUUGCUGGUUGUCUUCCUGAUGGUCCAGGGGCCUCAUUUAUUGAUCCGUUCAUAGAACUGGUUCUAAAUACGUUCAGACCAAUGAAAUGUAGAAUGUGCACCAGUACAAAAAGAAUCAGUAUUUAUGAAGCGUGUGGACAGAGGUCGUACACACAGCAGUGUUGAUUAAUCCCACCUGUUCUAAAGCUAGCACAUGUUCAGGAUCAUUUACAUUUAUUGUUUUUUUUCUCCAUAUUUCAUGACUUUUCCUAAUUUGAUAUAAUAUAUUAAACAUAAGAUGAUCAUGAUGAUAUUUAUUCAUUGUGAUGAACACAUAUUACACACAUUGGUGUAAAACGUGUGUGUGUGUGACUUUACAUCUCCACACCUACAGAGUUGAUACAUGACAUUGUAAAGUAAAACUGAUAUUUCAUUUUUUCAUUUUCAAACAUGUGAAACCCCUCACACACAAAAAACAACCACAAAAACAUAAAAAAACCCAUAAAGUAAAAAAUAAAUAAAUAAAAACUCAUCCA
rnacentral:lncRNA from 1 species